UACGGAGGGUGCAAGCGUUGUCCGGAUUUAUUGGGUUUAAAGGGUGCGUAGGCGGCCCGUUAAGUCAGCGGUGAAAUCCCAGGGCUCAACCCUGGAACCGCCGUUGAUACUGGUGGGCUUGAGUACAGACGAGGUAGGCGGAAUUGGGGGUGUAGCGGUGAAAUGCAUAGAUAUCUUCAAGAACACCGAUUGCGUAGGCAGCUUACUAGGCUGUAACUGACGCUGAGGCACGAAAGCGUGGGGAGCGAACAGG
rnacentral:rRNA from 1 species